ACCUUAGAGACCAACUAGGUUUGUUCUUGGUAUAAGCUUUUGUGUGCAUGCACACUCAACAUGAAAGCUUAUACCAAGAACAAACUUAGUUGGUCUCUAAGGU